rnacentral:lncRNA from 1 species
GCGUUAUCUAAUUCACCAGUCAGAUGUUAUAGUGAAUUAUUCAUAAUUUUUCAAACUUUUCAUCAUGUAUAUUAUAAUUAUCAUGAUUAAAUAACCAGUAAAUUUAAUAUUUUUGUACAUAAAAUUUUGCAGCUAAAAUGCUGAAAACCGUUUUCCGUUUUAAGCGGCCCCCAGACCCCCUGCCGAUUGGUGCCUACAGUUGACAGAAUACCUAGCUACGCCCC